rnacentral:rRNA from 1 species
UGGGGAAUAUUGCACAAUGGGGGGGAACCCGUGAUGCAGCGACGCCGCGUGAGUGAAGAAGUAUUUCGGUAUGUAAAGCUCUAUCAGCAGGGACGAAGAUGACGGUACCUGCAGAAGAAGCCCCGGCUAACUACGUGCC